UACAAAUAUAAAAAUAUUUGUGGCCUCCUUAUGCGAUUUUGAACCUAAUUUAUUAAUUUUUGAGUUGAGUGAGACCGAACUCUAAAAUGUUGAUGUACUACUUCUAGAACCAUGAACUGGAGAGGGAAAAAGCUGGCUCAUUUCUUCUCGCACAGAAGAAGUAAAAAGAGUUAAACGAAGACGAUCACCCAUCAGAAAGAGGCUAAUGAUAGGAAGAAGUAGGAACUCAGCCAUUGAUAUGGGAUUCGGGAUGAUUAGGUGCAUUUUCGAGGAGCCUCGUUUAAAAGGGCCCUGAAGACGGACAAUAUGGGAUAUAUAUCAUUGUGAAUCAUGAGUUUUGUAAGUAUUCUGAUGACAGCAUUAGCUUGUUUCUCACCUACUUUUAAAGUGUUCGGUCAUGUCAAGCAAAGUAUAAUGGAAAGAUGCUAUGAAGGUUAUACACCAAGUACGCUCGUGGUUCGACCCUGCACACUAUACUAUUGAGCUUGUUUUUGAUGCAGGAUGUAUUCUUAUUACAUAUUGUCAGGGUUUAUUCUUGCCACGAGUAAAAGAGUACCUGAUCCUUUUGUAAUAAGAUGCUCCACUGCCUGCCGUUGACUAAAGAUCUUGUUACGGCUUCAGGUAAAUAAAUCCUAUAAUUCAGGUCUCCUAGCCAAAUCACCCUACUGUAUGAGAUUAACCAGCUUAUGGUUGUUAGAAGAUAAUUUCAAUAUAUUCACAAGUUGGUAUAUAAUAAUCAAUAUGUACAAAGUGAAGUCUUCUUUGUUGUACCUAUGACACGUCAGCUAGCCAAAUCAUCUACAGUAUGAUAUUAACCAGCUUAUGGUUGCUAGAAGACUUUGCAAGAUAUUCACAAGUUGAUAUAUAGGAGUAAUAAUCAGUUUAUACAAAGUGAAGUCUUCUUUAUUGUGCUAAGAAAGACAAGUGUAAAACUAUUUGCCCAAAUGCUGACAUGAGGGUUCAUAUGCAUUUAACACAAUCUCUCUCCCCCUUAUCUUUUAUGUUCUUUUUCUCACCUAAUCAACUGUCUAUGGGUCUUGGACAGGAUAAUAGCGUCUGCUUCUUGCCUCUAUGAAGCAUAAUCAAACGUUUAACUGUGUUAUUAGCACACUAGCUGCUGAUGCUAUAUCAAGAUUCAAGGGAAUGUGCUAUUAUGAUCAAGAAAUAGAAAUUUACACCAAUUCUUUACCUUGUUUCCGAGGUAGCCAAAUAUACCACAGCCUACAGAGGAGACACUUGUAUGCCUGAUAUAUGGAAGGAGUGGAGACCUCGCCCAUAUGGAUGAUGUUGUUGACAGCUAUCUUGUUCAGAGCUGUUCUAAUAAGAGAAUUCCAUUGCAUGCAUAACAUUGUGUUCUCUGGCACUAUAACACUUCCAGCAUUCAGAGGUACAAUUUCUUGAAACCUGAUAAAAGUUGUUUGCUCAUGACAUGUACAUUCUCGAAGUAGAAUUUAGACCCUUAGCUACUACAAGUAUCAAAGUACUACCUUGACCAAGCCAACCUGAUAUGAUCAGAUGGCAAUGCAUUUGCAUGCUGCUGCUUACUCUCAAGGGCAGCCGCACAUGCAAAAUGCAGUCAUCAGGUGAUUUGGUUCAUUUACCUAUUAGUAGAAUGCAUUAUAGUGAAGAUAAAGGUUACCCGAGAACAUAAAUAUCAGCCAAGUUGUUUCGAGUAUCAAGCAAGCCCUCCAUAUUUAAGUCGUUAGGUGGUGCAAUGCCUCCAACAUUCCAUGAGCUAAUAAAUAAU